rnacentral:rRNA from 1 species
ACGUAGGGGGCAAGCGUUGUCCGGAAUUAUUGGGCGUAAAGCGCGCGCAGGCGGUCCUUUAAGUCUGAUGUGAAAGUCCACGGCUCAACCGUGGGAUUGCAUUGGAAACUGGGGGACUUGAGUGCAGAAGAGGAGAGUGGAAUUCCUGGUGUAGCGGUGAAAUGCGUAGAGAUCAGGAGGAACACCAAUGGCGAAGGCAGCUCUCUGGUCUGUAACUGACGCUGAGGCGCGAAGGCGUGGGUAGCAAACAGGA